rfam:Spinacia oleracea cultivar SynViroflay C24916862.1, whole genome shotgun sequence.
GAGAGCUAUACAUUUGAAGCACCUUGGGCGAGAGUAGUACUAGGAUGGGUGACCUCCUGGGAAGUUCUCAUGUUGCACCCC